GUUUGGAGUUAGCUUUGAGGGGCAGGAAGUAGCUAGGCUAUCUCAUUCCGACACCAUCAACCGCCACACUCUGCACCGCAUGGGAUUUUCCAAGACUGAUGGUGGUUGGUCAAAGGGUGUGGAAGAGAGAGCUGAGGGUAGAGCAGACGAGGAAGGUCCUUCAUCACCUCUCCAUGAUCACAGGGCUGUAUCUCCAGACAUUCAGUUUAUUUCUGACCAUGAGGCUGGGCCGUCAGGGUCUACGAGGAGGCAUACUCCAGUCCAGCAGCC
rnacentral:lncRNA from 1 species